rnacentral:lncRNA from 1 species
GCUCUUUCCGUAGUGGCUGUAUCUGCAUCCUGUCUCUGUUUCUCUCUCUCCCCCGUCACUUUCCCUCCCUCACCUUCUUUCUCCUCUUCAAUUUCCGGGUUCACCCCCACUCGCGCCCACCGGCAUCCCCCAGACUGAGGCCCUGCAGGGUCCUGGGUGGGAGCUCAGUGCGGUUGCAGGUGGUGCCCUCUAGAUGUUUCUGCAGUCGGAACAUUUCUAUGAUUCAGCUGCCAGCAUUAAAGUUUUAAACAACGGCCACUUUGGAAAGCCUUUCCCAUCCUCCUGUCCCGGGUUCCUCUAGGACUAAAAACACGUAGUCCACAGUGAAAUGCUUGGUCCCUCCCGGCACCCUGUGGCGAAUGCCUUCCUUAACUGAGCAUGUAUUGGGUGCCAGGCCCCCUCCAGGCGAGGGUCUGCAUGGUGAGCAAACUCCAGUCCCUGCCCCGUGGAGCUGUCCUCUGGAGGCCAGGAGAGGGCGACAGCGCUUUGGCGGCACAGCCCGCUGGUGUCCUUCCCACGUGUGUCUUCCCCUUCCCGGGCCUGGGGGGAAUCCAGGUGGGGCAGCGGCCGGAUCUCAGCCCUGAAUAGUCACCGAGUUCUGCUCUGCGCGGUGUUUUCUCCUGGUCCUUAUCAGAUGCCAUUGGUCUCUCUGCAACAUUUGGGGCACCGAAGCCAACUUGACCUGCCUGAUGCAAACAUCUGGAUUCCAGGGGAACUACCAGGGCCAGUGGCUGAAGGCACAAGCAUCGAAUCACCAGCUCUUCAGACUCCAGGCUCUCCCUGAGAAAACUGAAGUUCUCAUCUCCUUUGGGCAAAGAAUGUGGACAGAGGACACCGCUGGGCUUUCCUCAUACAGGACUCAUCAGCAAUGCUCAGAGAGUUUGAAAAACAAGCCCAGGAUCCCCACAUAGCAGUGAAUUUUUCAUUCC